rnacentral:lncRNA from 1 species
AGAGAAAGACUGAGAGAGAACAGGAGAAUAGAACCUUAUUAGACACCAGAUGUAUUUCCAGCAACUGGGUUCCUUGAAAUUUCUCUGGUUCAUAAGUGCUUCACAGACAUAAUGGGCUAGUAAAUUAGGUCCUUAUUUUGGAACAAAUUGAGAGAUAUAUUUGGAAGUAUGACAGAGAUCAAGCUGUCAGCUUUAAUUGGAGAUAAAAGCUAAGUUGGAGAAGGGCAUACUGCUAAUAAUUCACCCCAGAUUUGUCAGAUUUACCUACCCCAUCACAAGCCCAGUAAAAAUCACAGUAUAAAGGCAAAGAUAAUGCAUCUCUCUGCAGUCAGGCCAAUUUCAAAGUGAGAGAAGAAAGAAAUAGGUGAUCUAUACAUAUGCAGUGUGUUCUUCCAAAUCAUCAAAUAAUAAGUGUUGCCUCUCUUUUUGACACUAGGUCUCCUCCAAGAUAUUCUUAUGUAACUACUCUACUUGUCACCUGGACAUCAGGACUUUGGAAAACUUCCCAAGUGUUUCCAUUGUGCAGGCUGUCAUGAGAAUAUCCUCUCUCGGGAAGACUUACUAGAGAAAGAAGUAGCCAUCACCAAUCUUUCAAGCCUUUUGCACUCUUACCUAUUGGAUUUGAACAACUUAUGUAAGGUCAUCUUGGGUUAUGAUUGUCCCUCUCAGGUAAGAUGUUAGCAUUUUUGUCAGGACUAGUUUGCUUCCAAACCCAAGAGGCUCCAAUCAAAAUACCAAUGACUUCUCCCUGGAUUAUCUGUGAUCCUCUAACUCAUAAGGAAUAUCCCACAAAAAGCUUCACAGCCCAUCAAAAAAAAAAAAAAAAAAAAACAACUAACUCUAAGGUUUUCUCAGUCCAAAUUAUAUACCCUUUACUAUUUCCCAG